rnacentral:misc_RNA from 1 species
CGAAAGAGGUGGUCCUAUAAAUACUAGAAAAGGCCUCUUCAUGUAGCUCUACCUAUACCAUCCACAUUUAAAUAGAGAAAAAGAAAAUGUUGGCUAUAUUCCACAAAGCUUUUGCUAACCCACCAGAUGAGCUCAACAGUCCUGCAUCUCAGAAGGUUAAUAAGAAGCCUAAGCUUCCGCAAGAGACUCUUGAUGAGUUCCUUUCUCAUUAUCCUGACAACACUUUCUCCAUGAGCUUCGGUGAAGCUGCUGUGCUUGCCUAUGUUCGCCCUGACAACAAUUUCUCACAUCAUCAAAGGUUUUUU